rnacentral:rRNA from 1 species
AUUGAACGCUGGCGGCAGGCCUAACACAUGCAAGUCGAGCGGAUGAAGGGAGCUUGCUCCUGGAUUCAGCGGCGGACGGGUGAGUAAUGCCUAGGAAUCUGCCUGGUAGUGGGGGAUAACGUCCGGAAACGGGCGCUAAUACCGCAUAUGUCCUGAGGGAGAAAGUGGGGGAUCUUCGGACCUUACGCUAUCAGAUGAUCCUAGGUCGGAUUAGCUAGUUGGUGGGGUAAAGGCCUACCAAGGCGACGAUCCGUAACUGGUCUGAGAGGAUGAUCAGUCACACUGGAACUGAGACACGGUCCAGACUCCUACGGGAGGCAGCAGUGGGGAAUAUUGGACAAUGGGCGAAAGCCUGAUCCAGCCAUGCCGCGUGUGUGAAGAAGGUCUUCGGAUUGUAAAGCACUUUAAGUUGGGAGGAAGGGCAGUAAGUUAAUACCUUGCUGUUUUGACGUUACCAACAGAAUAAGCACCGGCUAACUUCGUG